GAGGAGCUUGCUCUUCUUGGAUGAGUUGCGAACGGGUGAGUAACGCGUAGGUAACCUGCCUUGUAGCGGGGGAUAACUAUUGGAAACGAUAGCUAAUACCGCAUAACAAUGGAUGACACAUGUCAUUUAUUUGAAAGGGGCAAUUGCUCCACUACAAGAUGGACCUGCGUUGUAUUAGCUAGUAGGUGAGGUAAUGGCUCACCUAGGCGACGAUACAUAGCCGACCUGAGAGGGUGAUCGGCCACACUGGGACUGAGACACGGCCCAGACUCCUACGGGAGGCAGCAGUAGGGAAUCUUCGGCAAUGGGGGCAACCCUGACCGAGCAACGCCGCGUGAGUGAAGAAGGUUUUCGGAUCGUAAAGCUCUGUUGUAAGUCAAGAACGGGUGUGAGAGUGGAAAGUUCACACUGUGACGGUAGCUUACCAGAAAGGGACGGCUAACUACGUGCCAGCAGCCGCGGUAAUACGUAGGUCCCGAGCGUUGUCCGGAUUUAUUGGGCGUAAAGCGAGCGCAGGCGGUUUGAUAAGUCUGAAGUUAAAGGCUGUGGCUCAACCAUAGUUCGCUUUGGAAACUGUCAAACUUGAGUGCAGAAGGGGAGAGUGGAAUUCCAUGUGUAGCGGUGAAAUGCGUAGAUAUAUGGAGGAACACCGGUGGCGAAAGCGGCUCUCUGGUCUGUAACUGACGCUGAGGCUCGAAAGCGUGGGGAGCGAACAGGAUUAGAUACCCUGGUAGUCCACGC
rnacentral:rRNA from 1 species